AUUGAACGCUGGCGGCAUGCCUUACACAUGCGAGUCGAACGGCAGCACGGGAGCAAUCCUGGUGGCGAGUGGCGAACGGGUGAGUAAUAUAUCGGAACGUGCCCAGUAGUGGGGGAUAACUGCUCGAAAGAGCAGCUAAUACCGCAUACGACCUGAGGGUGAAAGGGGGGGAUCGCAAGACCUCUCGCUAUUGGAGCGGCCGAUAUCAGAUUAGCUAGUUGGUGGGGUAAAGGCCUACCAAGGCAACGAUCUGUAGUUGGUCUGAGAGGACGACCAGCCACACGGGGACUGAGACACGGCCCAGACUCCUACGGGAGGCAGCAGUGGGGAAUUUUGGACAAUGGGCGCAAGCCUGAUCCAGCAAUGCCGCGUGCAGGAAGAAGGCCUUCGGGUUGUAAACUGCUUUUGUCAGGGAAGAAAUCCUCUAGGUUAAUACCCUUGGGGGGAUGACGGUACCUGAAGAAUAAGCACCGGCUAACUACGUGCCAGCAGCCGCAGUAAUAC
rnacentral:rRNA from 1 species